rnacentral:tRNA from 1 species
GGGCCCGUAGCUCAGUCUGGUUAGAGCACCGGACUCUUAAUCCGGGUGUCGCGGGUUCGAAUAGCGUUUGAAGCCGACUAGUCGGCUUCCGUCGAAAUUCCCGUCGGGCCCA